rnacentral:sRNA from 1 species
AUUAGCCAUACCAGCAUUCUCAGCCGUCGCUGUUCGUCUGUUCAUCAUCAUGAUCAUGAAUGAUGAUCAUUAAUUAGGCCUAGAAUGUAAACUUAUUCAAAAUAUGGGUGUUUUCUGAUGGUUUUUUGACUGGGAAACAUCGAGCACAGGCUUGCUCAAGUACCAUUUCUUAGUAUAAUGUGUAUAACUAUCUGAAGAAAAACAUAUAUUAAAAUCGCACUUGAGCAGACCUGCGCUCUACAGUAUACUUCCGAAUGCAAAAUAUAGAGCAAAAAUGAGAAUAUUUUCAUUUGUUUGCAAAUUUGCAGGAAUUAGGUCAUUUAGGUGACGUCAUAGAUAAACAACGAAUGAGCAAUGAUGACUAAAAUCAAGAUUAAAGUUAUAGGCAUCCUCUAUACAAUGAUUUGUGAAGAUUUGAUUUUCAUACGAUACUUAGUAUUUAAAAAUUGGUUGAAAUCGGGGGCAGAUAUUUGACCAUACCGCACACAGUCCUUUCAUACAGAACAAAAGAGUAUUUUUAAGAAAUCAGCAAAACUUGGUUUUCAGUUUCCAAAAAUUGCGGCCCAGGUUUCGCUACCCAUUUUAAUCACACUCCCCAGAAAGCUGCUGCAUCUGCCCUGAAAGAAGUAGUCCCUGUGAAAAAAGAUCAUCAUCAUCAACAAAAUACAUGACAUAUCCUUCUCAGUGGUACAAAAAAUUUUAAAACUGAGUAAAGGAAAGGAAAAAAUAAUUCUGAAGUAAAUAUGGAACUACAAUUGACUAAGUUCCUAAGUUCAUUUUGAUUGUCCGAUUACCGAUGUGAUACCUAGAACACACAGUUGUGGCGUCAAAAGAAGUCGUAACCCACUCUUACCCAAACAGGCAAAUAUUUUUAUUGUGCGACCGUUGGGGUGAACGCAGCAUGUGAUCAAAUAAUGAAUUAUGCAAACAAUGCGAAGUCAAAUAAACAUACCUAUUUUUUUUCCAGUAAAUUUUCAUUAUGCAUAAUUUAUAAGAUUUUUUAUUUAUUUAUGAAUAGAAUUUAUGUCAGAUACAAUGUUGUUGAAUAAUAAAAAUUUUAACAUAAUGUU